rnacentral:rRNA from 1 species
CGCGCAGGCGGUCGUUCAAGUCGAGUGUGAAAGCCCCCGGCUCAACUGGGGAGGGUCACUCGAUACUGAUCGACUUGAAGGCGGGAGAGGGAAGCGGAAUUCCCGGUGUAGUGGUGAAAUGCGUAGAUAUCGGGAGGAACACCAGUGGCGAAGGCGGCUUUCUGGCCCGUUCUUGACGCUGAGGCGCGAAAGCUAGGGUAAGGCAAACG